CCCUUACCUGAUGAUGGGUUCCCUGAGUUGUCUGUUAUGGAAAAGUUACUGGAUGGAAAUUUGUCGGUAUUCCAUAACAAUACAAGAGCUCAUCAGUCGUAAAAGUGUGUCCAUCAAAGAGCCAUCAAAAAACCAACUCUGAACAGCCAAAGGCUUCUUCAGAGAAUCCACUUCUCUUGGGACUCUUGCUGUAUUUGAUGUCUUCUUAUGCCUCCAUUGUUACACUGGCGUGUAAAACAGGGUGUUUAAUUCGGCUUCACUGGAGCUGUGCCAGGUCCUGAUGGAAAUGAGGUUAGCACUUAUUUGUCCAGUGUAAGUAAAUGGAAAGCCAUGCUAAGGAUCACUAAAACUCAGCCAAAUUAGUACUCUAACACAAGGUUGUUCAUAAACAUUAACAGGAAUUUUGUCUAUAGUACAGCUGGGACCGUGCUUGUUCUAAAUACAUAAAAUCAUGAUAAGGAUGAAUGCAAUGAAUUAAAAACCACCUUGGAAGUGCUACUUAUAAUGAAG
rnacentral:lncRNA from 1 species